UGGCAGGAGGGUCUCAGGAAAGGUCACUGGAAGCCUGCAGGAUGAGUAGUGAAACUCUGGAGGGAUAGAGGGAGGGAAGGUUGAAAAACUGCCUAUUGGGUACUAUCCUCAUAUCCUGGGUGAUGGGUAGAGUCAUACCUCAAACCUCAGCAUCACUCAAUAUACUCAUGCAACAAAUCUGCACAGGUACCCACCGAAUCUAAAACACAAGUUCAAAUUAUAAAAAAAAAUUUAAAAAGAAGUAAAUAACAUAAGUAAUAAUUAAAAACCCAGUGGAACUCAUGGUAGUAGUGAGUAGAAUAGUUACCAGGGCUCGGGUAGGGGUUGGGAAGAUAUAGGUCAAAGAGUACAAAUUUCAGUUGAAGGAAUCAAUUCAAAAGAGCAAUUGUCCAACAUGGUGACUUCAGUUCAUAACAAUGUAUUGUAUACUUGGAAACUGCUUAAAAAAAAUUAGAUUUCAAGUAUUCUCAAAACCAAAAAUGGUUAUUAGUACAUGAGGUAGGGCAUAUGAAUAUUAGCUCAAUUUAGCCAUUUAACAAUGUUUGUAAUACUACAAAGCAUAUUAUGCUAUAUGCCAUAAAUAUAUACAAUUU
rnacentral:lncRNA from 1 species